rnacentral:rRNA from 1 species
UGGCGAACGGGUGAGUAAUACGUGAGUAACCUACCUUUAACUCUGGGAUAAGCCUGGAAAACUGGGUCUAAUACCGGAUACGACCAAUCUCCGCAUGGGGUGUUGGUGGAAAGCGUUAUGUAGUGGUUAUAGAUGGGCUCACGGCCUAUCAGCUUGUUGGUGAGGUAACGGCUCACCAAGGCGACGACGGGUAGCCGGCCUGAGAGGGUGACCGGCCACACUGGGACUGAGACACGGCCCAG